UCUAGGGUACAAACGUCUGUUGAGAACAUCUUGCACACAUUCAUAUCAUGUAGAAUGUCAAUCACACUUCGUUUAUAUAUUUAAAACUUGAACACCGUUUCCCCCCUAAUUUCAUCAAUUUUUCUGCCAAGUGCUCUUGAUGACUUCUUUCAUUGGUUUUUUGGUUUUUUUGUUUUUUGAAAUCACACUUUCCCAGUGAUGCCUCCUGGAUCCUGGUUAAGAACCAGAAUUGCCAGAGCUUCCUCAUUGACCUAACAAUACAGAUCUAUAGACCUGACAAAUAAGAUUUCCCAUCCAAGACUUAGUGGAAGAACUCCCUGAAGAUUCUUCUUAAAGGCAUAGGGGUGCUUCUGGGGCGUCUUCAGUUUUCCUCACAGGCCGUGCUGCAUGUCCCAGGAUAAAGGACACUCAGAUGGACACGAAACGUCAACAGUAUCUACAGGGAUGCUCAAAUCUAUUUAUCUCAAAGAAUAUUUGAAGUGAUCGCUGUUACGUGUUGUCAUUUUAAAUUGUGUGUCAGUGACGCUACCUGUACAAUUUCAGUCCAAAAAAUAAAGCUCUCAGGGAGAUAAAACACAAUGAGCAGUAGAGAAUAAAAAUGGACGCUUACCACUGACCUGCCAGCUCCUAGUAUCCUUAAAUUAUAUGGUAUGUAAAGAGGACUGUUACUAUUGUUUUCUUUUGCUUUAUUUAUUUGUACUAGGGUGUGGGGAGGGACUAGCAUUUUCUCUUGUUUUCCAUCUUUCCUUUUGUGGUUGGGUUUCCUGUGGAGAGAGUAGUUUUUCCUAUUGCACUACAAUAUUAUUUACUCGCUAAAUUGAGUUUUCUUUUCAGUCAAGUAUCACAUAUUUAUUAAGCACUUACUAUGUACCAGGCAUAGUAGAGCUGUAGUGGUAAGCAAGACAGAGUCCCUGCCCACCAAGGAGUUCACAUUCUCCACGGUGUUUUCAGGGACGGUAGAAUACCAAUGUGCAUAGUAGACAGGAACCGUACUAUUUAAAAACUAAUCUGUAUGAACUAUAAUGUUUAGUGCAGAUGGCGAGGAAUCUGUGCUGUGUAAAAGCUGUGAAGCAGCGCUCUAAGAAUUGUCAAGAGCUGUGCUUUUUACUUUUUUUUUGUCUUUCUUCAUCACAAACUUAGCGACCUUCUACCCAUUAUGUGGAAGCAAAUGGCUCUUCACUAAGGCAGUCACAGGGACAAAGCAGAGCUGACUCUCCCAGCCCCGCGCUAACCACAGGCUGCAAGCAUCCUGGCUGCGGUGCUGAUGGAGACGUGGCGAGGAGGAGUGGGGUGGGGUGAUGGAUUUCAUUGUUCUGAUCUAAAGUGCCUCUUUGUAUAUUCUUUUCUAUUGAUAGCAGGAAAAGUUUGGUCCAGCUCAGUUUUGGAACUGUGGAGAGAGACUCACAACAGAGAGCAAGUCUGUGUCGCAUGUCCCCUUGCCCCUCUUAGAAUCAUCCUCACAUCCAUGUAGGCCUCCCAGUAGGCCACCUUUGCCAUCCCCAGCUUCUGGGUUUAUUUUCCUAAAGACUGUGUGCAGGAAACUUCAUGUGCCAUUGUUACAAACAAACAAAAAUCGACUUUUUAGACUGGUGCUGGUGUAAGUAGCCACUUUUCUCUCUUGAGUAUGUAUUUUAAAGAUUUUUUUUUAAAUAAUGCCAAAAAUUGAAAAGCAUUAUAAUUUUUAAACUUAAUUAAAUGUCUCGUAUCUUAUUAGCUUAGUAGCUGGAACCACUUAGUCUUUAGGUUGCAAGACUGUUGUUACAGAACCAAGAAAAAAAAAAAGAUGUGUGUGUGUGCUAUGAGACUGUACAUUUUUUUAAAUGGCAAUAUGCAAUAAAGAUGACUUCACUGGGUGUAC
rnacentral:lncRNA from 1 species